rnacentral:sRNA from 1 species
CUCAUGAAUGUACUAAUUAUUGUCUAUUAUAAGGUUUAUGAAAUCACUUGGAAGUUGGUACUGUAGUUUGAUGAUUUUAGACUUUUAGUAUCUGUUAGCUUGACAGUUAUAAUUAGUGAGAUAACUGUUAAAAAGCGGCUGCAAAAUUAGGGUUACAAAGGUUGAAGACGAUUGCAAAAUUACAAUUAUACCCUCCAUUAAAUUUUUUGUGUGUACAUAUUUAUAAUUUACAACUAGGUCAGUAUUCGUGCUACGCACGGUAUCUUUGGUUAAAUCAAUCAUCAAAUAUUAAGUUCUGUGUAUUCCACAUAAACUCUACUUUAUUUUCAUUAUAUGUAAACAUAUAGUUGUAUAUCAUGUAUCAUUGGAAUAAAAUAAAUAUAUUUAGUCUCGUCAAACAAUAUUUUGGUAAGUAUAUAUAGUUUCCUCGGGUUGUAGCAUGCAAACAAUGUCUAAGUUGAUAUGUACGUUUGGGAACGUAAUUUUAUAUUUUGUAU